rnacentral:sRNA from 1 species
AUGUGCCGCGCGUGCAUACCGGUUCCUGCGUGCCGUCCGCAUACACCUGACAGCUGCUCGCCAGGUGUCGCCAUCC